rnacentral:rRNA from 1 species
AUUGAACGCUGGCGGCAUGCCUUACACAUGCAAGUCGAACGGCAGCACGGGUGCUUGCACCUGGUGGCGAGUGGCGAACGGGUGAGUAAUACAUCGGAACGUACCUUAUCGUGGGGGAUAACGCAGCGAAAGUUGCGCUAAUACCGCAUACGCCAUGAGGGGGAAAGCGGGGGACCGUAAGGCCUCGCGCGAUCAGAGCGGCCGAUGUCUGAUUAGCUUGUUGGUGAGGUAAAAGCUCACCAAGGCGAUGAUCAGUAGCUGGUCUGAGAGGACGAUCAGCCACACUGGGACUGAGACACGGCCCAGACUCCUACGGGAGGCAGCAGUGGGGAAUUUUGGACAAUGGGGGCAACCCUGAUCCAGCAAUGCCGCGUGGGUGAAGAAGGCCUUCGGGUUGUAAAGCUCUUUUGUCAGGGAAGAAACAGCAGCUCUAACACAGUCUGCGAAUGACGGUACCUGAAGAAUAAGCACCGGCUAACUACGUGCCAGCCGCCGCCGUAA